rnacentral:rRNA from 3 species
UACGUAGGGGGCAAGCGUUGUCCGGAAUCAUUGGGCGUAAAGCGCGUGUAGGCGGCUUCGUAAGUCCGUUGUGAAAGUCCAGGGCUCAACCCUGGAAUGCCGAUGGAUACUGCGGAGCUAGAGUCCGGAAGAGGCGAGUGGAAUUCCUGGUGUAGCGGUGAAAUGCGCAGAUAUCAGGAGGAACACCAAUGGCGAAGGCAGCUCGCUGGGACGGUACUGACGCUGAGACGCGAAAGCGUGGGGAGCAAACAGG